rnacentral:rRNA from 1 species
UCGGGAAUUUUGGGCAAUGGGCGAAAGCCUGAUCCAGCCAUGCCGCGUGUGUGAAGAAGGUCUUCGGAUUGUAAAGCACUUUAAGUUGGGAGGAAGGGCAGUUACCUAAUACGUAUCUGUUUUGACGUUACCGACAGAAUAAGCACCGGCUAACUCUGUGCCAGCAGCCGCGGUAAUGCAGAGGGUGCAAGCGUUAAUCGGAAUUACUGGGCGUAAAGCGCGCGUAGGUGGUUUGUUAAGUUGGAUGUGAAAUCCCCGGGCUCAACCUGGGAACUGCAUUCAAAACUGACAAGCUAGAGUAUGGUAGAGGGUGGUGGAAUUUCCUGUGUAGCGGUGAAAUGCGUAGAUAUAGGAAGGAACACCAGUGGCGAAGGCGACCACCUGGACUGAUACUGACACUGAGGUGCGAAAGCGUGGGGAGCAAACAGGAUUAGAUACCCCCGUAGUCCCUGAGCGGGCUGGCAAGGCGCAU